GCAGCAUACGAAAGUUCCCAGGCUAGGGAUCGAAUCAGAGCUGCAGCUGCCAGUCUAUGUCACAGCCACAGCAAUGCCAGAUCCAAGCCACAUCUGCGACCUACACCACAGCUCACGGCAAUGUCAGAUCUUUAACCCACUGAGUGAGGCCAGGGAUCGAACCUGCCAGGUCCGUAACACAGCUGUGCUGGGUUAGGGGGACCCUGGGAGGGGAACCACUGCCUGCAAGACAAACGGGGGGUGGGGAGCACACUCCCCGCCCCCCGCAUCUACUCAACAGCUCUGCCUGUUCUCCAUCAGCCGGCGCAGAGGCACGGCAGCCAAGGCAUGAGUUCUAGAGCCUAGAUCCCGGCUCCGCCAGCUCCCAGCCAUGAGACUUGAGGCAGAAGUGGCGACAGCUCCCUGGGCCUCCCUUUUCCCAUCUGCAAAGUGGGAACAAUCAGAGAACCGGGAAGCAGAGAGGACUCAAAACACCCACGCCGGGUGCCGAGACCACAUGGGCACCAGGCCAGCCCUUGAGGAUGGCGGCCUGCGCUGUCCUGGGGCUCCCCGACCUGUGACCUUGAGCUGGCCAUGGGCUGUGACCUUGAGCUGGCCGCGGGCUGCGUCCCUGUGCUAAUCCCUGUAACCUGCCCCUGGGAGCUGAUUCAGAGCCUGGGUCUCCGCAGCUGUGACGAAGUUGUAUGUACACUAAGAACCAGAGGAGUCACCCGCCACACCACACCGUGCCCACAGGGGAGAGGCCAGGUGACAUCAGCAGUUCCUUCACUGUGGCCACGGGAGAAAAAUACAUUUGAGUCAGAGAUCCUGACUGAAAGCGACACCCAGAUGCCUUCCAGGGAACGUGGUACUGGCUCCAGCCUGAAGAAUCCACGCAACGACCUCAUUUGUUCGGUUCGUCCAUAACCCCACUGGGGUGACAGUGGCCCAUUUUACAGGUGGGGAAACGGAGGCCCCAAGGUCUCUGGCUCAGGUCACACAGCUUCUGCAACGCACACCUGGGGACUCCUGAGUCCCUGUUGCAGCACAUUUCUGGGUGUCACCGUAGGAGGCAGAGGAAGAAGCUUUAAUGCCAGACCCAAGCAUGCUGCCUACAGCCCAGGCGGGUCCCCAGAGGGCAGUGCUAAGUGGCAGCUUUGCAGGACUAGAAAAGCUCAGACACAAAGGUGGUGUGAAACACUCCGCCGCAACGGCCACCCUGAACCCCCAAGCCACCCAGGUGACAGCCGGCGGGUUAGGGAUGUUUUUCAGCCAGGCUGUCCUGGUCCUGAGUCUCCUGGUGACAGCUCCCUUUGCUGGGCCUCGGGGGCUCCCUUUGCUCACACGCACUCCAGGGAACCCGGCCUGGAGUUACAGGUUCUGAAUCUUUCAGACACUCUGUUGCUGCUGUUCGCCUCUGACUGCAAGGUCCCCUCUCUCCUUCGAAGAGUCGUUUUCUCCCCAAUUCCAUCGCUGCCCUCAACCUACAGAAAUCACCCAGCCCUCCAUCAGCUAUGGGGCAGACACCCCCCAGGGCCCGGCCUUGCCACCCCGGCUGCCUCCCCGGGGCCCGUCAGUUGUCUCUCGGGCAUAGGAACGGUCCCCCCUUUGGCAGCGUCUCACAGUAUUUAUUGUUCUGCUCUGGGUGCAGUCUGGUCCUGGCGGCACCCCGGCGUCAGCGACGCAAACACCAUCACUCAUGCGGCAUAAACCUGUUGUGGCAAUUCCCCGCCUGGGCCCGCGAGAGGCGCCCAUCACUCUUCCCCGACGGCGCUCCAAGGCGCGGGGUGGCGGGAGAUGGAUGGUUCUGGGAAUUACCGCCGGCUGCAAAGUGGGGACCUUUCACCUCUGGGGAGAGGGGUCAAGUCACAGCCAUCGCGGGCCCGGGCCCCAGGGAAAUGAAGCAGGAGACCCCUGCUCGGGGCACGGCCCUGACGCCCCCACUACAAGCAUCUGGUCGUACUGCACGCAGGGGGAGCCCAGUCUGGCCUCCAGAACGAUCGAUUCACUGGGGCCGCCUGACAGAGCUCCAGGCAGGUGCUGUCUGUGGCUUUUGACAAAUGAGGAAUCGGAGACUGGGGGACACAAGACGAAUUGCCCCUGGUCUCCAGAUUUUCCUGUGUCCUUUCCGAGGGGCAAGCUGCCCCCUCAGAUCACAAACUCAGCUUCCCCCUCCCCCAGCCUCCCGGAGGCUAGGAUUAGGUCUUAAGAAGUUCCCGUUGUAGGAGUUCCCGCUGUGGCUCAGAGGCAAAGAAGCCGAUUAGUAUCCAUGAGGAUGCAGCUUCGAUCUCUGGCCUCGCUCAGUGGGUUAAGGAGCCGGUGUUGCCAUGAGCUGCGGUGUAGGUUCAGAUCCGGCGGUGCUGUGGCUGUGGUGUAGGCUGGCAGCUCUGAUUCGAUGCCUAGCCUGGGAACCUCACAUGCCAUGGCCCUAAAAAGGGAAAAAAAAUCAAUUUAAGACCCUUUACACCAGUGCAAAGAUUUCAGUGCGCGUUCUCCUUGGAAUCUGGAAACGCCGGGUCUUUGGUCAGCUGUCGGAGAGGAAAGGGUUCAGAAGCCCUGAGGGUCUGAGCGGCCUGCCGGGGUCCUGUGGCCUGGCCUAGGACCGGGGCCUGGACUUCAGCUCGAGCGCUCUCUCCUCAUCCGACGGAACCCCCCUGCCUCAGGAUACGUGGGAGAGGAGCUGACCAUGGCUUACGGGGGUGGGGUCAUCACUGUCCUGGACCUUCCCCUCCCAGGACGGUGCCAGCAGGACCACAGACCACCAGCAGCGCGGCCACGUCCUGAAUAACGCAGCGCCAGCAAGAGGGCAGCGUGCCCACCGCCAGGAGGAGGGCUGCUGGCCUGACCUAGAAACUUCUGAGCCAGGCUGAGCCAGGCCAGGCCAGGCCAAGGCUGUCCCCCUCACCCGGAGGUCACCUCCCUACCGUCCAGCCCUGUGUUGAGGCAGCACAGGCAGCACCCCCUGGACCGGGGGUGGAGCGAGGCUGUCACCUCCUCGCCACGAGCGGGGCGACGCCUGAGGCGGGUCGCCCACCUGGGCUCCAGCUCCUCGGCCUCAGAUGAGCGGGCCUUGCUGGAGAGACCUAAGCUCCUCCUCGCGGUCCGAGUGGGGUAAGGAGAGCCCUUCCCACAUUUAGGUCCACCCGGAACCUCAGAGUGGGAGCGUCUCUGGAAAGGGGGUCUUUCCGACGUAAGGAGCUCAGAUGAGCUCAUCCCGGAUUAGGGAGGCCAAACAUCGAAGCCGCCUGGUGUUCCGAAGAUGACGGUCACGUGACACCCGCAGAGACAGGAGUGACGUGGGCCCGAAGCACUACAGAUGGCUUGGAGCCCCCAGAAGCUGGGAGAGGCAGGAAGGACCCGCUCCUGGAGCCUCUGGAGGGAACAGGGCCCUGCCUCCGCCCUGAUUUUGAACUUCUGGCCUCCAGAACAGAGACAGAACUAACUUCUGUGAUUUGAAGACAGCUGGUUUGGGGUAGUGUGCAACAGCAGCCCUAGGAAACUCAAAGGGUCUGAAACCUCGAAUCAAGUUUACUGGGACUAUGCUGAGGGCAGGACCUGCCCCCGGGCCUUUGCACCUGCCGCCUGGUCUCAAAGGAGCCCUCCACAAGCACAGGGCCUGCCUGCUUCCUCCCUUCAGGCCUCUGCUCAAAGUCACAGCCACGCAGGCCUGUCUGCCCGCCCCACGGACAUUCGCCCUGGCCUCUCUUCUCCGCCCUGGCCAUAUACACCACCUAAUGUCGUGUGUCUGCUGUCCCUCCCCUGUCUUCCAACACACAUGCAGAACCCAAGCCCCCCGCCCCCCGCACAGGGGUCUACCUGGGUCCUGGCUGGGCUCCCAGCUCCAGGCACAGAGCCUGGCACAUGGCAGGUGCUCCACAAAUACGUGUAGAAUGCACCUGUACGAUCUGGGCCCAGCGCCGGGGCGGGCAACCUUUGGAAGGGCUAGGAAAGGCGCUGAGAGGUCCUACGUCACCAGUGCCCUGGGACAGACUCCUCCGAGAAGAUGCCCCGGUGAGUGGGAGGCAGCCUGGCGUGGCAGUUACGGGCUUGCGAUCCGGAAACUAGCUGGGCUCAAACUGCCGAUCUGCCACGUCUAAGCUGUGCAGCCUCAGGCACGUUCCAGAACCUCUCUGGGCCUGAGGGACAGAAAAGUACCUGCCUUGUGCAUUUGUUGUGUCUAUCAAAUGAACUAAAGGGGAUGGGGCCUGAGAGCGGGGGUGGCGUUUCCCAAGCACCAGCUCAGCAGGAAUCGCUGCUGCUACUGUGAGGACUCUUGGGAAAGACCAGGAGGGGACACAGGGGUGGCUCCAUCUGAGGGGCACCCCCUAGGCUCGUGGGAGGCGGGGCCCCCGGGGGUACCAAGAGACUGCGGCACAGGCCCGUCGGGGCAGCAGCAAACUUGUGAGAGCCAGACUCGGUUUGUCUAUGGAUCGUACAUGAAGAUCCCAGCAUCCCCAGCUGAAAAACGAGCCCAGGGAGCAGGAGCAAAGCGCCCUGGGGCUCUGGCCAAGCCCGUCCGGCACCUGCAGCCUCCAAGGGCUGGGAGUGGCUGCCCGUGGCCAGCUCUCUGGGCCUGGCUGCUUCCCAGGGUGGCACCUGGCAAUCAGAACGAUGCCCCAGCCCCCGAGGCACCCUGAGCAGACCUGAGACCCAAGACCGAGUGGGGACCAGGACGGGGAUAAAAGGCACCGCCUGUACACACGGGCCUCAGGCGCAGCUGCCACCAAGCAGUUGAGACACAGCCGUGGACUGAGCAGGGACAGUCUGGGCUGCAUGCAGCCAGGCCCAACGUGUCCCUCCACC
rnacentral:lncRNA from 1 species